AUAUAAUAUCAGUCCUAUCAUCUUCCCCAGCCCCCUCAUACGCGAUACCCACUCCACUCCAGAGACCACAGCCCCCUGGGAUCGAAUACCCACUCCAUGGCGAUUAUCCCCUAAAAUUUGCGUCGAUCUUCUCCAUCUGUCGGUCUCCAUUCUUCACUCCGGCUAGAAUGACAAACUAACAUUUAACAAAGAGAGCAACAUUAGAAAAACAUGCCAGAAGCAUCAAAUUUGUGUGGAUGACUUGCUACAUGAAAGACCAGUUCGAUGUAGAAUAGAGAGCCUCAAGAGCUAGGCUUGUCAAAGACAUAAUCAAUGCUAAAACUGACAGUUAACGACAAGCACUAAAACUAUCAUGGCCUUCCGAGAAGGUUGUUCCAAGAUGUUAAGGACAUGAAGUACAUACAUGCUGCUGAAAAAAAUUAGGUGGACUGAGAUUUCUAAACUUAUAAUUGUCUUGAUAUUGAGUUCCUACCAAGAACUAAUAUGAUUUAGUGAUUGGAAGUAGUAAAGUAAAGGAUAGUCCCUUGCUCAUUCUUCAAAGGUAUACUAUUAUAUUGCCCUUUAAAAGAUGAGUUACUUUAUAAUAUUAUAAAGAUAUUAAUUGUCAUAACAAAAAACAAGGUCCAAACUUAUGAUUUGUUGUCAUGAGAAAUAAUUCAUGUAAUUAGAUAGACUUUACCUUUAGAAGCAAUGUUGAGUUCUUGUGCUAAGUUACCUGGAAUAUUCAAAAUUAUUGUUUCUAGUUAUAGCACUUUCUCUAUGUUCAAGUUUUGCAGCAUAUGAUGAGUGAUCUCAUUACUUGCAUUUUGAUAUUAAUCCACAGUGAAGUAGGUUUUGAUAUUAAUUGUGUGUUGCGGUGAUAACGGAAGGUUUUUAACUUGUGUGCCUUAGUGAAGUAGGUUUUGCAAAAAUUUGAUUGUAUUGCGGUGGUAUAGGAAUGAAAAGUUAUUGUGUGUUUGUUGAAUUGUUUGAAUUAUUUAUUUGCUAUAACAUUGGCAUAUCAAACUUACUACAAGGCAAUAAGGAAAGAAAUUCCACCGAAGCUAAAAGUUUGACGCCCGACUGUACGUAUUCUUUAUUUUAAAUUUCAAUUAUAUUUUAUUAAGAUUUUUAUUAAUUUAAAGAAAAAUCUUUAAUGUCCACAUCAACCGAAAGACACCGAAUGUGGAUAUUAUGUAAUGAAGAUGAUGAAAGAUUUACUUUAAGCUUCGAACCGGAAACAAUACUUUUUGGUCGAGUUAAGAGAGAUGCAAAGUAUACAGAAGAAGAAAUUGAUAAAGUGAAAGAGCAUUGGACAAGUGAGAUGUUAUCGGUUUCAAACUUACCGACAUUAGAUGUUUUUUGUUUUAAUAGACCAAUGGGCAAGUGAGAUGUUAUCGAUUAUUCAAACUUAUCGACAUUAGUUUUUUUUAAUAGACCAAUAGUUAUUAUAUAAUUUUAUAGAUAUGGAUUUAUUGGUAUAAUGAACUAAUAUGUAAUAUUUAUUAGUUUUGUUGAUGUGAAUUAUUAUAAUGGUCUA